rnacentral:lncRNA from 15 species
GUGUCAAUAAGAAAUGAAAAGCACACAGCAGCUUCAGCCGAGCUGUCAAUCAGCAGCGGCAGCCUUAUCUGUCGGCCGCAGGGGCUGAUGGGAGGUCUGAGGACCUGUUAGAAACCACGUGGCCCUCGUCUGAUCUCACAGCUCGUCCUUGUUUGGCCUCAGCUGCAUCAGAGCGCCACUUCUCCCCAGGUUCACCAGAGGAAACACCACUGCACAAAAUGCUUUUCCUCCCAGCUGCUGCUCUGUGCUGUCUGUGUUCAGCGCUGGUUGCCAUGGCAGCAGAGCUGAGACAGGAUCAUUUAACAUUGACCAGGAGAGUUGGUCAAACCGUCUCCUUCAGCUGUGGAGGAACUGACCAGUGUGACAGAUGAUUAUGUACUCUGGUACCAGAAGAAAGACACAGAAACAUUCACACGGAUUCUUUAUUUCAACAAGAACCUUGUAACAUAGGUUACAGGUACAAUCAUCCUCAGAAAGAUGAUUUCUCAGCUGUGAAUAAAGAGAACGGCUGUGAGUUGCAGAUCCAGACAGUUAAACUCAGUCAUUCAGCCACCUACUACUGCGCCUGUUAGAAGGAUGUUCCCCACAGUGAGAAAUGAUCCCUGCAGCCUGAACAAAAACCAACAGAUGUCAAACAGUGUGUGUGACAGGAAGAGAGCAGUAAACCACAGCCCAGGUUCACAUAUUUCACCUCCAUCUCAGCCAGAGUCACAAACAUACUGAACUGAGGGACUGAUUUUCUUUCCUGCUGUCAGGAUUGAUUUCAUAUUCUAUUGAUUGAUAUUUUGAUCAGAUAUUUCAGCAGGUUUAUUGUUGUUCCACACAGUGAGGAGAAAGGAUACAAACAGAAGCACAAUGAUGAAAUCAAAUCAAGAGAAAACAAUAAAAGUACAAACUAAACAGAAACAGAUGAAAAGUAAAAGUCAUUUUGUAUAAUAGAAGAACAAAUUCCAAAGAAGAUGUUUGAGAUAAAGAUUCAGAUCCUCCUCUUUGUUCUGCUGCUGGAUACCUACAGCGUCACAUUUUGAAGCGGAGGGCCACUGACCGAGCUGCAGGAUUUGACCACUUGGGAGUGAGACCGGGUUGCGCCUGCAGGAAUCUCUCUACACCCCCUGGGACUCUGUGUUCAAAAAGAAAUGAUCAAAUGAAAUAUUUGCUCAACAGAAAGCUAAAGCUUCAUCCUGCACUAUUUCCACAGAAUCAAUGCUCCACCGCUACACAGCAAGCUCGCCAAAAUUACAGCCAAUAUUUCAGAAGAAAACACGAGUGCUUCUUCUCAAAGCGGCGCCAAAGUGUAGCUUAAUA